AGCGCCCUGACCAAAGUGGUUAUCACGACAGAAUCGAAAUCUGUUUCUCUUGGAUGGCGCAGGUUCGAAACCUGCCGAUGCCA